GGCUCUCCCUGCAUCCCCCCUCUGGGGCUGGCAAUCCCCUCCCUCCAGCUCCAGGGCUGAGCAUCCCUCCUGCCCAAAGUCCCUUCCUCAGGCUGCGGGCAGGCUGCAGGGCAGCAGUUCCCCAGUUCCUCUGCCCGCCGUGCCGCCUGCAGAUCCCCAGCACCGUGCCUGCCUUGGAGGGCAUCCAGCACACUCACUGCAACCCCAGACAAACAAACAGCAGUUGUGCAAGGGUGCGGGGCAGGCAUCUCCGGCAGGAAACAAAGCGCAGGACUUGCUCUAUUUUAAUCCUGCCAAGGGUCUUCUUGGAAGCGAGGCAGAGCCCGGCUGUGCAGAGUUAAGAAUGAAACCCUAUUUUUAGCCUGUCCCUGGUGAGCCAUCUCCAGGGAAGAACCGAAGCCCAGAUCGGUGUGGUCUCCUGCUGGUGACCUCCAAGCACCCAAAAGUGAAGGAACCACAGAGCAUCUGGGGCUGAGUGAGCAACCUCACUGCAAAACCCAACUGGGAGAGCUGGAGCGAGCGCUGCGGGGACUUCGGGAGGCAUGUCUGCAGCAGAGAGAGGAAGGCUCGCGGUCCGAGUGCAGCUGCUCUGUGCUAUAGAUUGCACUCCCAGAUUGUCUUCCUGCCAGCUGCCCCCAACGCCAAACCGAAGGCUCCAGUGGGAAGAAGUGCUAAUUUAAGGAGCUCUCUCUGAAGCAAAGGCUCUUCACCCAGGAAGCCCAGCACAGCUCAAAUUAGCUUCGCUGCUGGCAACCUCAGCUGUAAAGCCAUGGUCUGAAACAGAAACACCUCCAGUCGUGAUCUCUCCUCAAUAAAAACUUAAUUUGCUGCUGCUUUGCCAUUCCCUUGCAAUGAUUUCAGAGGCCCCUGUGUAUGGAUCUGUCAAGAAGCAAAAUGCCAAGACAAAUUUAAAAGCAGC
ensembl:lncRNA